rnacentral:rRNA from 1 species
UACGUAGGUGGCAAGCGUUAUCCGGAUUUACUGGGUGUAAAGGGAGCGUAGACGGCUGUGCAAGCCAGAUGUGAAAGCCCGGGGCUCAACCCCGGGACUGCAUUUGGAACUGUGUAGCUGGAGUGUCGGAGAGGCAGGCGGAAUUCCUAGUGUAGCGGUGAAAUGCGUAGAUAUUAGGAGGAACACCAGUGGCGAAGGCGGCCUGCUGGACCGUGACUGACGUUGAGGCUCGAGAGCGUGGGGAGCAAACAGG